GGGUUGUGAGGUUAAGCGACUAAGCGUACACGGUGGAUGCCCUGGCAGUCAGAGGCGAUGAAGGACGUGCUAAUCUGCGAUAAGCGUCGGUGAGGUGAUAUGAACCGUUAUAACCGGCGAUUUCCGAAUGGGGAAACCCAGUGUGUUUCGACACACUAUCAUUAACUGAAUCCAUAGGUUAAUGAGGCGAACCGGGGGAACUGAAACAUCUAAGUACCCCGAGGAAAAGAAAUCAACCGAGAUUCCCCCAGUAGCGGCGAGCGAACGGGGAGGAGCCCAGAGCCUGAAUCAGUGUGUGUGUUAGUGGAAGCGUCUGGAAAGGCGUGCGAUACAGGGUGACAGCCCCGUACACAAAAAUGCACAUAUUGUGAGCUCGAUGAGUAGGGCGGGACACGUGGUAUCCUGUCUGAAUAUGGGGGGACCAUCCUCCAAGGCUAAAUACUCCUGACUGACCGAUAGUGAACCAGUACCGUGAGGGAAAGGCGAAAAGAACCCCGGCGAGGGGAGUGAAAAAGAACCUGAAACCGUGUACGUACAAGCAGUGGGAGCCUCUUAAUGGGGUGACUGCGUACCUUUUGUAUAAUGGGUCAGCGACUUAUAUUCUGUAGCAAGGUUAACCGAAUAGGGGAGCCGAAGGGAAACCGAGUCUUAACUGGGCGUUAAGUUGCAGGGUAUAGACCCGAAACCCGGUGAUCUAGCCAUGGGCAGGUUGAAGGUUGGGUAACACUAACUGGAGGACCGAACCGACUAAUGUUGAAAAAUUAGCGGAUGACUUGUGGCUGGGGGUGAAAGGCCAAUCAAACCGGGAGAUAGCUGGUUCUCCCCGAAAGCUAUUUAGGUAGCGCCUCGUGAAUUCAUCUCCGGGGGUAGAGCACUGUUUCGGCAAGGGGGUCAUCCCGACUUACCAACCCGAUGCAAACUGCGAAUACCGGAGAAUGUUAUCACGGGAGACACACGGCGGGUGCUAACGUCCGUCGUGAAGAGGGAAACAACCCAGACCGCCAGCUAAGGUCCCAAAGUCAUGGUUAAGUGGGAAACGAUGUGGGAAGGCCCAGACAGCCAGGAUGUUGGCUUAGAAGCAGCCAUCAUUUAAAGAAAGCGUAAUAGCUCACUGGUCGAGUCGGCCUGCGCGGAAGAUGUAACGGGGCUAAACCAUGCACCGAAGCUGCGGCAGCGACACUAUGUGUUGUUGGGUAGGGGAGCGUUCUGUAAGCCUGUGAAGGUGGCCUGUGAGGGUUGCUGGAGGUAUCAGAAGUGCGAAUGCUGACAUAAGUAACGAUAAAGCGGGUGAAAAGCCCGCUCGCCGGAAGACCAAGGGUUCCUGUCCAACGUUAAUCGGGGCAGGGUGAGUCGACCCCUAAGGCGAGGCCGAAAGGCGUAGUCGAUGGGAAACAGGUUAAUAUUCCUGUACUUGGUGUUACUGCGAAGGGGGGACGGAGAAGGCUAUGUUGGCCGGGCGACGGUUGUCCCGGUUUAAGCGUGUAGGCUGGUUUUCCAGGCAAAUCCGGAAAACCAAGGCUGAGGCGUGAUGACGAGGCACUACGGUGCUGAAGYGACAAAUGCCCUGCUUCCAGGAAAAGCCUCUAAGCAUCAGGUAACAUCAAAUCGUACCCMAAACCGACACAGGUGGUCAGGUAGAGAAUACCAAGGCGCUUGAGAGAACUCGGGUGAAGGAACUAGGCAAAAUGGUGCCGUAACUUCGGGAGAAGGCACGCUGAUAUGUAGGUGAAGCGACUUGCUCGUGGAGCUGAAAUCAGUCGAAGAUACCAGCUGGCUGCAACUGUUUAUUAAAAACACAGCACUGUGCAAACACGAAAGUGGACGUAUACGGUGUGACGCCUGCCCGGUGCCGGAAGGUUAAUUGAUGGGGUUAGCGGUAACGCGAAGCUCUUGAUCGAAGCCCCGGUAAACGGCGGCCGUAACUAUAACGGUCCUAAGGUAGCGAAAUUCCUUGUCGGGUAAGUUCCGACCUGCACGAAUGGCGUAAUGAUGGCCAGGCUGUCUCCACCCGAGACUCAGUGAAAUUGAACUCGCUGUGAAGAUGCAGUGUACCCGCGGCAAGACGGAAAGACCCCGUGAACCUUUACUAUAGCUUGACACUGAACAUUGAGCCUUGAUGUGUAGGAUAGGUGGGAGGCUUUGAAGUGUGGACGCCAGUCUGCAUGGAGCCGACCUUGAAAUACCACCCUUUAAUGUUUGAUGUUCUAACGUUGGCCCGUAAUCCGGGUUGCGGACAGUGUCUGGUGGGUAGUUUGACUGGGGCGGUCUCCUCCUAAAGAGUAACGGAGGAGCACGAAGGUUGGCUAAUCCUGGUCGGACAUCAGGAGGUUAGUGCAAUGGCAUAAGCCAGCUUGACUGCGAGCGUGACGGCGCGAGCAGGUGCGAAAGCAGGUCAUAGUGAUCCGGUGGUUCUGAAUGGAAGGGCCAUCGCUCAACGGAUAAAAGGUACUCCGGGGAUAACAGGCUGAUACCGCCCAAGAGUUCAUAUCGACGGCGGUGUUUGGCACCUCGAUGUCGGCUCAUCACAUCCUGGGGCUGAAGUAGGUCCCAAGGGUAUGGCUGUUCGCCAUUUAAAGUGGUACGCGAGCUGGGUUUAGAACGUCGUGAGACAGUUCGGUCCCUAUCUGCCGUGGGCGCUGGAGAACUGAGGGGGGCUGCUCCUAGUACGAGAGGACCGGAGUGGACGCAUCACUGGUGUUCGGGUUGUCAUGCCAAUGGCACUGCCCGGUAGCUAAAUGCGGAAGAGAUAAGUGCUGAAAGCAUCUAAGCACGAAACUUGCCCCGAGAUGAGUUCUCCCUGACUCCUUGAGRGUCCUGAAGGAACGUUGAAGACGACGACGUUGAUAGGCCGGGUGUGUAAGCGCAGCGAUGCGUUGAGCUAACCGGUACUAAUGAACCGUGAGGCUUAACCUUACAACGCCGAAG
rnacentral:rRNA from 1 species